rnacentral:rRNA from 1 species
GAUGAACGCUGGCGGCGUGCUUAACACAUGCAAGUCGAGCGAGAAGGCUGUGACUGAUUCUUCGGAUGAAGAAGCAGCUGGAAAGCGGCGGACGGGUGAGUAACGCGUGAGAAUCUGGCUGUGGGUCGGGGACAACCACUGGAAACGGUGGCUAAUACCGGAUGAGCCGAAAGGUAAAAGAUUUAUUGCCCACAGAUGAGCUCGCGUCUGAUUAGCUAGUUGGUAAGGUAAAGCGUACCAAGGCGACGAUCAGUAGCUGGUCUGAGAGGAUGAGCAGCCACACUGGGACUGAGACACGGCCCAGACUCCUACGGGAGGCAGCAGUGGGGAAUUUUCCGCAAUGGGCGAAAGCCUGACGGAG